AUGGACCGGCUCUCCGAUCUCCCUGACGACUUGCUGAUCCACAUCCUCUCCUUCGGCCCCUCCUGCGAGGCCGCUAGAACCACCGCACUAUCCCGCCGAUGGCGCCGCCCGCUCUGGCUCCACACCGCCGCCGUCAACCUCGACUACCGCUCCUACACCCCCGGCGCCGGCGCGGACGACCGCCCUCUCUGGCGGCGCUCCGUGGACGACGCUGAGCACGCGCUCUCCCUCCAGAGCUCCCUCGGCCGCCGCCCCAAGAAGGUCGCCCUCGUCAUGCGCGAUGGCACCAUGCAUGACGCCGUCCUGCGCGCAGCAUGCGGCCGGGAGGAUGUCGCCGCCGGCUUCGAGGAGCUUCAGAUCGACUGCCUAGAGUAUGGCGUCCCGCCUUACUGCGUCCACGCCGCCCCGCCGCGGUGGACGUACUACAAUCUGUACCUCGUCUCCCUGCCCUUCGCCGGCCUUCGGGUCUUGGAGCUCUCCGGCUGCAUCCUCCACGCGCCUUCCCCGUCGCCUUCCUCCGCAGAGUCAGAGGAGGAUGAGGAGCCCCCGUCGGAGGAGAAGUCCGAGGACGGACAGCGCAUCACGUUCCCUUUCCUGGAGGCGAUGCGGCUGCGGCGGUGCCGCACGGAGUCAGGCACGCUUCAGGACAUGGUCUUGGCCGCGCCGAGGCUCGCUGACCUGCGGCUCGAAGCUGUGAGCUUCUCGGACUACAUGGGUCGGCUCAGCUGCCCGGCGGCCACCGUCAUCACCAUGGCCAACUGCCACAUGUUGAGCACGAACAACGUCAACUUCUACACGUGCACUGUGGUCCUCGACGCGCCGCGCCUUCGCCGCUUCAGCUAUUCGCAGGUCCACACCUUCGAGACCACCUCCUACUGGAACUACUCCUUCAAAUUCAGGUCGCCGCCGCAGGAUCUGGAGCAGGUUCACCUGGCGCUGCACACCGCAUCGGCGGCGGCAGACCUGCGUCACUCCAUGCACAUGGCUGUGCGCCACGUGAGGGUCCUCAUCCUCACGAUGUACUCUCUCGGUGACCUCGACAGGACCGGGUAUGGCUUGCCGCAGUUCGACAACCUGGAGCGGCUGGAGAUUGAAGAGCUCUGCGGGUGCAUCGUCGACCACAGCAAAGCGGCGAGCGCCAUCGAGAACCUGUUGCGCAGCUGCCCGGCUGUGUGCGACCUCCAUCUCAGGUUCCGCUGGCGGGAGUACCUAGCAGAAGCCUCCGACCCGGCUGACCAGAUGGCUGCCAUGGCGGACCUUAUGCCGUGCAGAUCCAUCAACAAUACCGGCUACGAUGAUGAGGAAGAGGAGUGCUGCGAAAAUUUGGAUUUAUAUUACCAACAUUGCGGCCAUGGUUUGGACUGCUUAAAGGGUUCGUUGAAGAGGGUGGUGGUGGAGUUCGACGCGGAGGAACUGACAUGCUUCCAGGUCCGGCUCAUCAGGUUCUUGGCGCGCGAAGCGGCUGGUCUCGAAGAGGUGGUCAUCGACGGUGGGAAGGGGUAUGACUCGAACCGCAUGGACCGGAAGGUGGAAAGAUGGCGGCGGAAAUGGAAACGCUCGCCGCCGCGAGCAGCAAAGCCCGCUCCAUUGUGGCCACCGACACGGUCCGAGUUCCCGCUACCCGUGAAAGCAGCGGCCCCGGCACGUAUGACCCCACCAUGCUCUGACGUAGAACUUGACAAUGGGUUGCAAUUUUAUGACGGCGAGGAUGAUGAGGAUGAGGAUGACGACGAGGAUGAUAUAUCCCCCAAGCAUUUCAUGCGUGGAGGCAGUAAGAAGAAGAAGGGGGGCGGGCUAGAGUGCUUUAGUGUGAAGCUGAAGGCAAAGGGCGGGUUAAUCACGGUGCAAGCAAGGAGAGGAGGAGCCAACCGCCGUCGCCGGAAUGACUGGGGUUGGGUUGAGGAAGAAGAAGGAGGAGACAUUGCAGGAUCGUCGGCGUCUCCACCUCUGGUGCCGCCGAUUUCUCCUCCGCAAAGGCUGCCAGCCAUGUACGAGUUCCCUCCGCUCCCUUGUGCCCCUCCGCCUGCACCACCGAUACUACCGUCACUAUCUGAGUCCCCUCCCCUCGACCAGUCCCCUCCUUUGGCUCCUCCACCAUGUCCCAGUCAGAUCGCUCCUCUUGGGUUGUGUCCCGCCGACAGUAUCUUUGUUUGUCGUCAGUGGCGAUCUGUGCGCCUUGCUGACCUAGAUGUCGCCGCGGACAUGAGCUCGAGGCGCCGCUACUUGUCACGCCGCCGUCGCCCGCUGGCUCCCACCAUGUCCUCCGGUCGCCGGUGCCCAGGGGCCUUUCGCAUCCAUCAGCCCCUCUAG
rnacentral:rRNA from 1 species